AAAGACUGACGCUCAUGCACGAAAGCGUGGGGAUCAAACAGGAUUAGAUACCCUGGUAGUCCACGCUGUAAACGAUGAUCACUCGUUGUUGGCGAUAUACUGUCAGCGACUGAGCGAAAGCAUUAAGUGAUCCACCUGGGGAGUACGGCGGCAACGUUGAAACUCAAAGGAAUUGACGGGGGCCCGCACAAGCGGAGGAGCAUGUGGUUUAAUUCGAUGAUACGCGAGGAACCUUACCUGGGCUUAAAUGUAGGACGACGUUUCGUGAAAGCGGAAUUUCCUUCGGGACGUCUUACAAGGUGCUGCAUGGUUGUCGUCAGCUCGUGCCGUGAGGUGUCGGGUUAAGUCCCAUAACGAGCGCAACCCUUAUCAUUAGUUGCCAUCAGGUAAUGCUGGGAACUCUAAUGAAACUGCCUACGCAAGUAGUGAGGAAGGUGGGGAUGACGUCAAAUCAGCACGGCCCUUAUGUCCAGGGCGACACACGUGCUACAAUGGCCAGUACAGAGGGUUGCAAA
rnacentral:rRNA from 1 species